rnacentral:rRNA from 1 species
CGGGGGGAGCAAGCGUUGUUCGGAUUUACUGGGCGUAAAGGGCGCGUAGGCGGCACCUCAAGUCGACUGUGAAAUCUCCGGGCUUAACUCGGAAAGGUCAGCCGAUACUGCGGGGCUAGGGUGCAGAAGGGGCAACUGGAAUUCUCGGUGUAGCGGUGAAAUGCGUAGAUAUCGAGAGGAACACCUGCGGCGAAGGCGGGUUGCUGGGCUGACACUGACGCUGAUGCGCGAAAGCUAGGGGAGCGAACGGGAUUAGAUACCCCGGUAGUCCUAGCCUUAAACGAUGAAUGCUUGGUGUCUGGGGUUUUAUAGUCCCCGGGUGCCGUCGCUAGCGCUUUAAGCAUUCCGCCUGGGGAGUACGGUCGCAAGACUG